GUGCUCGUUUCAGCAGCACAUAUAUUAAUAUUGGAACCUUACAGAGAAGAUUAGCAUGGUCCCUGAGCAAGGAUGACACGCAAGUUCAUGAAGUGUUCCAUAUUUUU
ensembl:snRNA U6 U6 spliceosomal RNA